GUCCAAACAUCACAUGAUUACUUACGUCACCGUUGAGUUUAGAGCGAUAUCGCAAUCUGAAUGUGUGUUUGACAUAAAUGCAAUGUUUUCCCCCACGACGUGAGGUUGUAAAACGAACUACCGUCGUGUUUGUUUUUGCACAUUCGAAUUUAAGAAAGCGUAGCUACCACAAUGCUAAUGUAUCAGUUUACGAUCAACGUUCUUAUGAACUGUCGCUAAUUUCCUGGCAAUAUGUGGAUUAGUUUCAACACCACGGCUUAAUUGAGUGUUGGUUACAAACGACACAGAAUAUUACCCUGCUGGAUUCCCACCUGCUCUGUAAUGGAAAGGAGUGGAGUCCCCUCAGCGUUGCUUUGGGAAUGGGGGAUGGUGAUGAGAGUAGCUUCCAGCCGCUUGUGAUAAGUUUUUCUGCAGAGGAAUUUCACUGUGGCUUUGCCAAAACAACAAUAUAGUUUGAAGCCCUGCCAGUGCUGUAUUCAAUUCCAGGCCUCGCUGGGGCAACUUCAAAGGGAUCGGCCUCUUGUUUUAGAAAGGGUAGGGGGGUACAGAACUCCAAAUUGGGCUGGGAGGCUGUGAGUCGGUCAACAAUAGGCCAGUAUCCUUCAGUAAGAGGAGUAGCAGUUUGAGGAAUCCUUCAUCAAGCUACCCCACUGUGGCCUCACACAUGAAUGGAUCAAAGAGGAGGAGUAAUAACAACAGCAUCCGAUCCAGGCCCUGGAGUGGGUCGCCCGAAGGAGACGAGAAACCAGAGAGAGGCAGGAUUGGGAAAAUAGAGGAGACCUCUGGUGCCCCCUGCCCCAAGUCCUGCCCUUGUCCCUCCCCACACACCCCUCAGGGGACCCACCUGGCUGAGUUAGUCAACCACAGGACAAUGUGGGCUGCUCUGACUGGAGAGGCUCUCCUGCUGAUGAGAGCCCCGGUGCCUGACACAGACAGGGACCCGGACAACGUGCGGGGAAAUCAGGCGCGGCGGCGGGAGCCUUGACCCCGUGACCCUUUGACCCCGCGACCCCGGAGCUGCCUGGCUCCUCUCGCUCUAAUGAGGAUAUUCACCUGAUGGGAAUUAUCAGUGUGUAAGCUGCUCAUUGCGCUGACAGUCUCGCGUCCUCUGAGAUCGCCGCAGUCUCCAGAAUCACAGCAACGCUGUUUGUGACACUGAGGUCUUCCAAUCAGUGUUGCUCUGUCAGUGUUGCGAGGACAAGAGCUGCUUCGCACGCGUGCAGAGCCUCCAGGAACACAGAACAGCCAGGCUCGCAGUCACCAUCUGCAGUCACAACGUCUGCACACUGUUACCAUCUACACAUCUAAUGCUAUUACAAUAGGGAACAAAAGGCCUGGCCAGUCAAAGAGAUGCGCUAGCACCCAGACCCAGGAAAGUAGAGACAGUUCUGCAGUAACCAGGUAAUCUUGUUAAAGCACACUCUGAAACUCAGUAUUUCCAGGAAGAAAAUGUCAUGAUGAGUAGGGUAGAACAUAAUGGUUAAAGUAGACCUGUAUUCAGUUAUUUUAAUACAUUGCCUUGUCCUUAUUGUAGAACAACUACAAUGGUACAUAUAUCUUUUUUCAGAUAUAAGAAUGAAUCAAGUUAAAAUAAUGAAAAUAUAUUUAGCUUUGCAACAAUCUAUUCAGAUAUUACUAUUAUUUCAGCCUGGGAAAGUGAGACCAUGGGGAAAACAAAAUAAUGGAUUAUUGUCUUACCUAAAAUGUAAUGUAGUAUUGAGGUUGCCAUUGCAAUGUAUAUGUCUAAUGCAUUUCCCAGAGAAGAUAAAUAAAACUCCCAAUCGCAUCCCUAUCUCUUGGUGGGAAGGGUCAUGAUUUGCUUCAUGUGAAA